AUUGAACGCUGGCGGCAGGCCUAACACAUGCAAGUCGAACGGUAACAGGAAGAAGCUUGCUUCUUUGCUGACGAGUGGCGGACGGGUGAGUAAUGUCUGGGAAACUGCCUGAUGGAGGGGGAUAACUACUGGAAACGGUAGCUAAUACCGCAUAACGUCGCAAAAACCAAAGAGGGGACCUUCGGGCCUCUUGCCAUCGGAUGUGCCCAGAUGGGAUUAGCUAGUAGGUGGGGUAACGCUCACCUAAGGCGACGAUCCCUAGCUGGUCUGAGAGGAUGACCAGCCACACUGGAACUGAGACACGGUCCAGACUCCUACGGGAGCAGCAGUGGGAAUAUUGCACAAUGGGC
rnacentral:rRNA from 1 species